rnacentral:lncRNA from 1 species
CAGGCUGGACCCUGGAGAGUUUCUGCACCCCCUUCAGGACCCCCACAGUUCCCCGCUGUGGUCCCUGGACCAUCGCUGGAGGUGGCCCGAGCUCACAUGCUGGCUUUGGGGCCACAGCAGCUGCUGGCCCAGGAUGAGGAGGGGGACACGUGAGUAUAAGGGAUAGGGUUGUCUGCAGACUCUUGGCUUGGUGGGGGCUGUUCUCACGGCUGUCCCCCACCUGUCCUCAGGCUCCUUCACCUGUUUGCGGCUCGGGGGCUGCGCUGGGCGGCAUAUGCUGCGGCUGAGGUGCUCCAGGUGUACCGGCGUCUUGACAUUCGUGAGCAUAAGGGCAAGACCCCUCUCCUGGUGGCGGCUGCUGCCAACCAGCCCCUGAUUGUGGAGGAUCUGUUGAACCUGGGAGCAGAGCCCAAUGCCGCUGACCAUCAGGGACGUUCGGUCUUGCACGUGGCCGCUACCUACGGGCUCCCAGGAGUUCUCUUGGUAUGGCCAGCUGGCAGGCAGGGGUUUGUCUGGGGGGUAGACUGGUUGCCCAGAUUUUGGCUUCCAGGGCCAGGAGGCCAGGGGAUACCCUUACCCAGCAGUCUGCCUUCUCUUCCUCCCAGGCUGUGCUUAACUCUGGGGUCCAGGUUGACCUGGAAGCCAGAGACUUCGAGGGUAAGUUGGGUGUGGGCAGGGCUGGUGUGGUUGGUGUGGCUGGGCGAGGUGGGUGCAGAUGCGGGUCCCUCACUGUCUCCAUUCUGCAGGCCUCACC